ACUCCUGACGUGAGAUAGAUAAAGAAGCUCCUGAACAGCAACAAAGUGCUUGGUAACGCUGAAAACACUCAAAUCCAGAACCAAUCAUGGCAGAAUCUACUGAAGG